rnacentral:rRNA from 1 species
UACAGAGGGUGCAAACGUUGCUCGGAAUUACUGGGCGUAAAGCGCGUGUAGGCGGUUUCGCGAGUCCGAUGUGAAAGCCCGGGGCCCAACUCCGGAAGUGCAUUGGAUACUACGAAGCUUGAGUGCUGGAGAGGAGAGCGGAAUUCCCGGUGUAGAGGUGAAAUUCGUAGAUAUCGGGAGGAACACCAGUGGCGAAGGCGGCUCUCUGGACAGACACUGACGCUGAUACGCGAAAGCGUGGGGAUCAAACAGG